GAUGAACGCUGGCGGCGUGCCUAAUACAUGCAAGUCGAGCGAACGGACGAUAAUCUUGCUUUUCUGAUGUUAGCGGCGGACGUGUGAGUAACACGUGUAUAACCUACCUAUAUUUCUUGGAUAACUUCGUGAAACCGGUUCUUAUACCGUAUAAUAUUUUGAACCGCAUGGUUCAAUAGUUAAAGUCGGUCUUUCUGUCUCUUAUAGAUUGUUCCGCGCUGCCUUAGCUAGUUGGUAAGGUAACGGCUUACCAAGGCAACGAUGCAUAUCCGACCUGAGAGGGUGAGCGGCAACACGGGAACUGAGACACGGACAAGACAACUACGGGAGGCAGCAGUAGGGAAUAGUACGCAAUGGGCGAAAGCAUGACGGAGCAAAGCCGCGUGAGAGAAGAAGGUCUGCGGAUCGUAAAACUCGGUUAUGAGGGAAGAAAAUAAGUGUAAGGAAAAGUGGACAGAGUGACGGUAACUAAUCAGAAAGCAACGGCUAACUACGUG
rnacentral:rRNA from 1 species